rnacentral:rRNA from 1 species
GAUGAACGCUGGCGGCGUGCCUAAUACAUGCAAGUCGAGCGAACAGACGAGGAGCUUGCUCCUCUGACGUUAGCGGCGGACGGGUGAGUAACACGUGGAUAACCUAGCUAUAAGACUGGGAUAACUUCGUGAAACCGGAGCUAAUACCGGAUAAUAUUUUGAACCGCAUGGUUCAAUAGUGAAAGACGGUUUUGCUGUCACUUAUAGAUGGAUCCGCGCCGCAUUAGCUAGUUGGUAAGGUAACGGCUUACCAAGGCAACGAUGCGUAGCCGACCUGAGAGGGUGAUCGGCCACACUGGAACUGAGACACGGUCCAGACUCCUACGGGAGGCAGCAGUAGGGAAUCUUGCGCAAUGGGCGAAAGCCUGACGGAGCAACGCCGCGUGUGUGAUGAAGGUCUUCGGGUCGUAAAACUCUGUUAUUAGGGAAGAACAAAUGUGUAAGUAAAUAUGCACGUAUUGACGGUACCUAAUCAGAAAGCCACGGCUAACUACGUG